AGCAGUCUUGUCCUUGAAAGCCAAACAUUUUGCAUGUUCUAGUCAAGUGUAUCCUUCGAAGCCUGACAAGGUCAUGGACACUGUCAGAAGCAGAGACCCAAAACAAGGAAUACAAGAUUAACAAUAGACAGUUUAAAAUGAUAAGAGAUUAAUUUCUUUAGCCUCAAUAACAUUGUCACUUGCAAUUAAUUUUAACUCUGAGCUCAGAAGAGUAUGGAACAGAUACUUUGAAAAUGAAAAUGAAAAACUGAAUCAAGUGCUUUGCUCCUGCUUUUAUUGGCAUAUGUUUUGCACAAAUCAAGAAAGGGGACAAACUUUCAGUGGAUCAGUGAUGUGAAAUCAGCUGAGGUGUUUUGAUAAAAGAGUCUGGAUGAGGUCUCUGAAGUUACUGGUGACAGAGUUGUCUUGAUGGACGCUCCUUGCAUCUGGUAAAUGUUUGUUUUUUGUUUGCUUGUUUGUUUUCUAAGAAGGUGUUUCUAAGAACACCUUAAUGAUGUUUGCAGCAUGAUUUAUUGUAAAGCUGUCCUCUAUAUUCACUUUUUAUCUAAUGAGGCUGAUGGGAAUACAGAUUAAGUUCAAUUUAUUUGACAAUGGUUAGUACAUUUUGCAUAUUUAUAUUAGUACGUUUGCUCCAGAUUUACUAAUGUUUUUAGUAAUUAGACUGUGGUGG
rnacentral:lncRNA from 1 species